GAAAAAAUAGCCUAGUGGACAUGGCAUCUGCCUGGUAAGCGGUACACUGUGGGUACGAUUCCCAUCCCUGGAUACU
rnacentral:tRNA from 1 species